rnacentral:rRNA from 1 species
CCUACGGGAGGCAGCAGUGAGGAAUAUUGGUCAAUGGGCGCAAGCCUGAACCAGCAAAGUAGCGUGAAGGAUGACUGCCCUAGGGUUUGUAACCUUCUUUUAUAUGGGAAUAAAUUACGGUAUGUAUACUAUUUGGCAUGUACCAUAUGAUGCAGGCUCGGCUAACGCCGUGCCAGCAGCCGCGGUAAUACGGAGGAUCCGAGCGUUAGCCGGAGUUAUUGGGUUUAAAGGGAGCGUAGGUGGGUUGUUAAGUCAGUUGUGAAAGUUUGUGGCUCAACCGUAAAAUUGCAGUUGAUACUGGUAUUCUUGAGUACAGUAGAGGUAGGCGGAAUUCGUGGUGUAGCGGUGAAAUGCUUAGAUAUCACGAAGAACACCGAUUGCGAAGGCAGCCUGCUGGACUGUAACUGACGCUGAUGCGCGAAAGUGUGGGGAUCAAACAGGAUUAGAUACCCUUGUAGUC